rnacentral:misc_RNA from 1 species
AAGUCGUAACAAGGUUUCCGUAGGUGAACCUGCGGAAGGAUCAUUACCAAGUUUAAUCCAAAACACUCAACCCAAUGUGCACUGUGAAAAUGUCUGUCUUUGAGGGUGGUUAUUUACUAGUAAAUUUACUGCCCCACAUUUGUUAAACCCUUUUUAAUUUUAUCAUGGCAUCUGAUCUUGUCUUAAACAAUGGACAACUUUUAACGGUGGAUCUCUUGGCUCGUGGAUC